GUUACACUUUCUUAUCUUUCCACUUUUCUGGAGUAUUAUUGAAACAGAUACACACGUAUACACACAUAUAGAGGAAUCUUCUGAAGACAAAGAUCACUUUUCAGAAAAAAUUCCAGUCUCAACCCACAGAAAGGGACAGAAACCCUUUUUUAACUGCACCACCAUGCUGUUACGCAGUACCUGUCGACUUGCAGGUAGAACAGAAAUGCCACAGAAAUGUCUGCCCCUUUGGCUCCUUGCCACCUCCCAGGGCCCAGGACCUUCCCAACACAGGCGUUUGUGAAAUUUUCUGGAUCGCUGCUGGGAUCUUUUCAUGCUUGAUAUGGAUUUAUUCUUUCGCAUUUAUUUACUGUUAUUUCAAUAAGAUUUGGGAAGAAGGAGAGGUAAAGUAGGCCCAAGGUACCCUUUUGACCUUCAGCAUUUAUUUUGAAAAUUUUGAAAUGAACAACUAUUUCUUCAGCGAAUAACUAGGAGAUCUUCUGGUUCAGAAUACUUUCACCGGGACUACCUUGACAAGUUCAUGUGUCCAUGAGAUGAGAAUAGAGAAAAAAAGUACCGGAACAAGUUCCAGCGAUGAGAAGAAGAAUGAAAGAAGCAUUCCAUAGUUUAUCUUAAGGCAGCAAUAAUUUGUGUGUCUGGAGACACGCUUUGCAGGGAAAAGAAUCAAGACUCGCUGAGGCAACGUCACAUAACAGAACGCGUGGGGUUGGUGACAAGCAGACGGAACUCUGAAACCUCGUUGUGUCUCAUGUAUCUUCUGCAAAGUGGGUACAGUAAAAUCUGCUCGGCGAGGAUUGAGCAAAGCGACACAUGGGAGGUACUCAGCACAGUGUGGGUUCUUUGGGACUGGUAAUCCCCAUGAGGCCGGGGGAAUGGACAGGAAGAAAGUUGAAAGAUUUGUAUACCAGCUCUGUUGGGUUUACUGCAGCCAUUGCUGUAUCUUUAUUGUCUUUCUGUCUGUUUUUGUCUGUUUCUCU